ensembl:misc_RNA 7SK 7SK RNA
GGAUAUGAGGGCGAUCUGGCUGCGACAUGUCACCCCAUUGAUUGCCAGGGUUGAUUCGCCUGCUCUGGCUGGCUAGGUGGGUGUCCCCUUCCUCCCUCACUGCUCCAUAUACGUCGAAGACGAAUAUAUGUCGAAGACGACAGCCUUCUCCCAAUAGAAUCUGACCGGUCUUGCUCUUGAUGGUAUAAGAGUAGCUGCGCUCCCCUGCUAGAACCUCCAAACAAGCUCUCAGGAAACUAUGUUCCAGAACAAAGAAGGGGAGAAAGAUUUGCGAUAUAUUCUAUUUUUCACUUUAACUUUUGAACCACACUCAUA